AGGCAGUGGGGAAUUUGAGGUAAUUAUGUGAGUAAUUUGAACAGAAUGGACCACCCACUCUGACCCUAAUUAUCUGGUUAUUUUAGGUGAAAGUAGCUUAAGACCUGAAGAACUGGAAUGAUUGCCUCAUCUCUCCAUUUCAUUUUAUUCUUACAGUUCCAGCUGCAGACAGAUGUGGAAAUGCUUUCCUGUUAAGCAUGUGAGACCUACAGCAGACACACUCAGGUGGGUACUACAGGUGUGAAUAUGUGCAUAUAUAUGCACACACCAGCAGGAAGGAGAACAGGAGUUUGGGAGAGUAACAGGAAGGAGCAAAUCAGUUCACUUUCCACCAUAAGAAACCCUCCACACCUGGCUUCCUGCAGCCUCCAGCAUACCCCUCUCUUGAGCGUGCACUGCUGGAACCAAAGAAAUUGUAAUUUGACCUUGACAAACUUGAUGAGUGCUGAACUGGAAGUUCAUGGGCCAAAAGGACUGGGCUGACCGACACAGAGCUAAAAGAGAUACAUUCUUCAGUUUUAGAUUUAAAAACAAAACAGAAAAUUUGAGCCUAAGCCAGAAAGUUUGGCUUUGUCAUGUCAGUAGUAUUUAACGAUGUUAUUUGGCUGGAGCAGCAAGUUCUGCAAAUGAAAAACAACUUGGCCUCUUUUCUCCCUUCUUUCUUUUCCCUGUUGGUUCCCAGCUCAGUCCCUCACUCUCCUGAAGCUUCACCUCUGUAGUCUAAAGGCACCUGGGACAAGGAAACCCCCAUGUGCACUGGAUACCAAUCCAGCCCACAGCCUGCUCCCUGCUGUGAUGCUUGCUUCUGAGGGACCCAGAUGUCCUGGUUAUCCAUUCUGACAAGAAUGGUGUUGGGGUGGGUCAGAGUAGUGUCCUCUCAUUUUCAGGAAGGAGAAAUGGGGGUUCAAAAAAGAAAAGAAAUGGAAGGGCAGGGGACACGGUACUUACUAUCUAUUGACUAGUUGCUCUGCAUGAGUAUUUGAAGUUCAAACAUCCCUGAGAGAUGGUUAUGGUAGGUAAUAAUAUCCCCAUUUUAGAGAUGAGAAAAUUGAAGCUCACAGGGGUUAAGUGUUCUACUGAAGGUCACCUGAUCGGUGGGUGGCCAAAUCUUUUGUAUUCAAAAAAGUCAACCAUGUGUAGGGAAAUGAUUGGCUCUGAGUCAGUGAGGCGUUUGAGGUCCAUAGCAAAAUGUCUCUAGCCUCCAUUUGUUCUCAGCUUGGAACAUUUGCUGAGGAUUUCUUCCUCAGGCCUCAUUCAUCUCUUUCUUCCUCAAAGAUUUCCUUGAUUCCCUAAGCCAGAAAGAAUCACUUCCCUCUGUCCCUUCCAUGUAUCUAUUAAUUAUCACCUGUGUUGAAGCAUCAGUCAGGUGUGACUUGUGGUGUGGUUGCUGGGGUAUCCCCAUCUUGAGAAGGCCAAGGUUUAUGGAGACAAGGUGUGAGUACCAGGGAAAAGGAGACUUCUCCACUCCCAGGCUUACCAGCACACUUAAAACCUAGAGUCUGUGAUUUCUGUGCUUUCGUGGGUCUUGCUAAACUGGGGCCUAACCACAUGGCACUUGGGUGCUAGCAAAAAGCCUCUAUCCUAUUGGGAAACAUGGAGGACAGAGGAGAGUGGAGUGGGAUAUGGGCUCUGAGCUCCCCCAAAGCAGGGUGUGGGUCUGCUCAGAAGUGGUAUCAACUGAAUAAAUGAAUAACAAUUUGCUGUCGCUACUCUCAUAAGCCACCUCGUUAGUCCUGCGUCAUAAAAGCCACGGGAAGAGGGUAGGGUAAAUAUCAUUCCCCAACUCCCUCUGUGUUUAGCCUAAGCAUGACGGUGUGAUCGGGCACUGGCUGCUCUUCCAAGGCCUGCCUGGGUCACCAGCCCUGCCUUUUUGCCUACUUUGCAUGGCAUCUGGGAGCUGCACAGCUAAGGUCUGACCUCUCUGCCUCUUGGCCUACCUCUGGUGGCUCUGUGCUGCAAUCUCCUUGGUGUGACCCUCCACCUUGCUGAGAAGAUAACACAGAGAGAACAGACCACAGGGUGGCCCAGGGCCUUAGUCCUUUUCUCAAGCUAAGAAGGCCUAACAGAAGUGGCAAAGGUGUGCCCAAGCCUGCAGCUCUGGCCGUGGCUCUCCACAAAAACUAGCUUAUCCUAAGUUGAAUCCAGGGAACAAAGUGGUGUGUGUGUGUGAGAGAGAGAGAGAGAGAGAGAGAGUGUGUGUGUGUGUGUGAGAGAGAGAGAGAUUUUACACACAUGUGCAUCCAUAGGAGCCUCAUAGUAUUUAGACAGACUAGAAUUUUCCUGGACAGAGUUUGAGGUUCUCUCCAUUUUAUAAACAGGCGAACAGUGUAUUUUAAUUUACCUGAAACAUGGGACAACAAAAAAAAAUGCAGGCACAACCUUCAGCCACCCAGGAGGAGGGGUCCUUGCUCAGCUGUUUCCUCUCUUCUUCCUAAAAGCCCUCUUCCACGGCCCUGUGUUCUGGAUCCCUUCCUUUGCUCACCUGGAGCAUCCCUCCUGUCCCCACAGCCCGUGUUAGAAACUAAGCAGAAGGUAUCUUUGAGGAAGUAAAGAUCCUGCUCAAGAUCUAGCAUCCCCAUGUGUGAGUCCCUCCCUGCCCUCCACGGGGCGCUGCCUAUCCCAGCAGGCACACAUCUACCUAAAUGACACUUGUGCCCUGAGUGCUCUUUCUCAUGUCACUUUGCAACAAACCCAAGUGGGGAUGACCUCCUUGCCUGCACUGUACAGGUGAGAAGCCUGAGGCUCAGGGAAGUCAAGCCCUUGUUCAUGGCCCUCACUCAGCUCAUUCCCAUCAGCAGUGGGAUUGGACUCUCAGCCUUCCUGAUCUCUAGUUUACAUUUUGGCCCGGUGGGCUGUAGACUGCUUCAGAGUAGAUGCACAGUGUCCCAGGAUUCUCCAGGCCCUCUGGGCCCUGAGUGACCUGGCAGGAGGCCCAGGGCUGCGUGUCUCCCUCUACCUCCUGUCCGCACUCCAGAAGCACCAGCCCAAGCUGAUAAGCAUGGCAGGUGCUUGUGAUGUGCCUCUGACACCACUGGAGCCCUCUGAGGAGUCAGCUUGUGGGUGUCUGCAGAAUCCAGUGCCCCUCCCUCACCUUGGAAGGGGCUCCUUUGACACCAGGACCACCGGUUCCUCUAGAGCAAGUGGCCCCAAAGAGCUCUGGCUCCCGGCUGUCAGCACCAGCAAUCCUACCCAGGAGCUAAGCCCUGGCACUUCCCAGGUCUGCAAGAGGCCAGGAUUCCUUUCCAGAAAACACUUCAUCUCUCUCUAAGUCCAGGGCCUGUUCCCUGGCCAGUGUCUUCAUAGUUCAGAUUCCUGUAACUUGAAGAGGUUGGUGCCGUGAGCACUGGACUUUCCAGCCGAGUUCCAUGAGUAAGGUGACACCUUUCCAUUAAAUGCCAGGUCCUUGAGUCCUUUCAGCCACUAAUGAAUUAGAGGAACUCUCCCCAAAUUCUGGUGGCCUGUGAUCCCACAGAGAUACUGCAGGUGUCUCUAUCAAAGGAGCUUCCAUCACAGAUGAGCUGGAUGGAAUAAAACCCUGGGGCCAAGGGUUCCAGAACUGGAUGGAAAGGGAAUAAGUGAAAGUUGGCAGUGAUGAUGCAGGACCUGGGGAACUGGCCUCAACGGAUGCAGGAGUAUCUGCACCUGACACACAUGAGGAGUGUCAUCUUACAUGGGGUACUUUCUAAAACCAGUGCAUAAGAAAAUGUGGUAUGGGAUCUUCCUCACCUCUUCCUUCUGAUGGAGCAGUCUUGCAUUAAGAUGGACCAGCCACUGUUUCCAUCAGCAGGGGAACUGAUGCUGUCAUUUUGUGUGAACAUGCAAUGCAGUGAUUACCUUACACAUAGGGACCAUGUGUUGUGACAAGCAUGUACCUUUAAGCACUAGACCUCUAAGCACUCAGUGUGGGAGCUGGGCUGACUCAGGCAGACACAUGCUUUCCUGCUCCCAGAGCAUGUGUUCACUGAUUGGAGCAGCAGCCCAGUGACCCACAGGAUUUCACCUAGUUAGUGGCCAUGUGAUAUGGUUGCACAGUGUUUACACUCUGCAUAUCCAUGCCAGGGUGUAGGCUGUGCAAAGUAGCAGGGUCAGGCAAAUGACAUAAAGAAGCUGAGAGGCUGCACCUGAACUUGAGCCCCAUGCACCUAGGCCACCUUUGGCUUCUUUCCACUUGGAUUCUUCUUCUGGUAUGGCUGUCGCUCUGUUUUACACAGGGAGGCAGCCUGGGUUGGUUUCUCUACAAAACAAUGAGGUUUCUCUAGUGCACUCUCGUUUUGGAGUGGCCAUCCUGCCCUGCACUGAAAGGAAUCAUUAGUUAAGGGGGUCAUUAAUCCUACAAACUGGAGGCAGACGUCUCCUCCCUGGUGUAGAAAGAGGGACAACAGGUGAGCCACUGGUGUGAUUCUAUCUGUCAGAGCAAAUGGACAAGUGGUAGGGGAAAGGCCUGGGGCACUUUAGAUGACAAAGCAAUAGCUGAGACAGAAGAACUAAGUAGCCCAAAAGGCUUUUGGCUGGGAAAAUGAAGGGGAGCCCCAGAACUAAGGAAGCUGUCAUUGAAACAGAGGAGAUAAGGGAAAGGGCACCUAAUUGUACCUAGAUUGCAAUAAUCUGAAAAUUUUUCUUCAAAUGACUGGGUUUUUUUUCCCCCUUCUGGAAAACCAUCUGAAAGCAGAAGUAACAAGUGUUCUGCAAAUAUUUAUACCAGCAUCUUAAAAUUCAUGACUUUUUAUGAUAAAAGUAGUACAAUGUUUGAUAUGAAAAAGGAAAAUAUCAAAGUAAUAGAUAACCAACAAAGGGAAAGCCUUGUACAAUUCCACCAUGCUGGAAAAAAAAAUUCAGCGGUUUAGGGUGUUUAUAAUAGGAUUUUAACCAAUCAUUUGUUUAUAUAGUAGAGACAUGUGCAGAAGGGCAGCAGUGUUUGAGCUUGCCUUCUACCAUCUGUCUGGAGAGAACUCUGCCAGCCUCUUAAAAAACAGAGUUCCACCAUCCACCUGAUGGCAGCUUCCUGCAUUUUCUGAUAUGGAAUGGAGUCCCCAAGCCCUGGGUUGCCUUUCCAAGUCAGUAGUAGCAAUGUCACCUUGUACACUUCUCACUGGUGAUUGGUAUGAUGUCUGAGAUGAGGGACAAUAUAUUGUAAUAUAACAAUAAAUAUAUGCUUGGGCUCAAAGAAUUUUUUUUUUGAGGUAGUUCAGAUUUGGCCUAGGGUCUCACACAUGCUAGACAAAUGCUCUACCACUGAGCUGCAUCCCCAGCCCUAUAUGUUUGGUUUCUGCCUCCUGGUUCUUGACACAGAGCUCCUAAGUCCCUUGUAAAAUGCUCCUUGUGCUAAGAGAAACUUGUUCUGAUAGUUGUUUUUUCUUUUUGACACUUUAUAAUGAACAUAUAGAGUCUAUACAUUAUACAUUGUCUGUUGAUCAAAUCAAGGUAGUUAGCAUCUCCAGCAUGUCAUGUAUUUAUCAUUUCUUUGUGAUGAGUACUUUCAAAAACCUCUCUUCCACUGUUUCAAAAUAUGCGAUACCUUUUGAUACAGAGUUCCUAAACCCCUUGGAAUUUCCUGCGUGACAGGAGCAACUUUUGUUCUGCUGACAUGACUCUUAGUGGGCUCCUGAAGAGCCUCAGAAUGGGGGCUGGUGGUCAGAGGAACCAACCAUGUGAUUAGAUGGUUGGAGAUUUCAGCCUCAUCUCAAUCCACCUCCACCUCCAUGUGGGGGUAGGGCUGAAGGUUGAGUGGAUCUCCAAUGGUCAAUGAGUGAAUCAUCAUGCCUCUGUAAUGCUGCCUCCAUAAGCACCCCCAAAGGAUUGAAUUCACAGAGCUUCAAGACAGCUGAACACGUGGAGCUAUCUGGAGGAGGCAGAAAGGGUGACAGCUUCAUGCCCCUUCCCACAUGCUUUACCCUCAGCAUCUCUUCCAUUUGGCCGCUCAUCUACAUGAAAUAAAUGGUAAGCAUGAGUGUUUCCCUGAGUACAUGAGUUGCUCAGGGAAGUAUAAAUGAAUUGAACCCAAAGAACGGGGUGUGUGGGAACCUUGAUUUAUAGCCAGUUGGUCAGCGGUUGAGGUGACAAAUUAUUAUUUGCCACUGACAUGGCAAGUUGGGAGCAGUUUUGCAGGACUGAGCCCUCCACCUCUGGGAUCUGGUGCUACCUCCCAGUAGAUAGUCAGAAUUGAAUUAAAUUAUAGGCCAGGCAAUUGGUGUCCACUGGAAAAAUUGCUGGUUUGGUGUGUGGGGACACAGCCCCCACACAGCUGGUGACAGAAGCACUAUGUGACAGCUGAUUUUUCUCAUCUCAUCCGGGUCCUUCCCCAGGACUGCUCCAGGUGAGCAGCAUCACUACAAACGCUGCCUUGUCCUGAAGGCUCAAGGAUGGGCAGCCCACCCUUGCUCACCCCUUCUCUAUUGUUGUCUCACAGAAAGAGGCAUCAGGAGACGCAUCCUAUCCAAAGAGUUUAAAUACAUUUAAGUCCUUCACCAUGAGGUUAAGCGACUCACUCAAGGUUACACAGCUAGUAAAUGGGAGAGGCGAUUCUGAAGUCCAUCUCUGGCUGACAGAUAUUAGAAGACUUUGGUGUUACAAGUUACACACUUAGGAUAGCUGCUUCACCUCCCUAUGGUGAUGACCCCCACAGCAAGAAGGCUGGUUAUCCACCUUGGCUGUGGUUCGGAAUCACCUGAGAAGCUUAAACAAACUGAUAUCUGGGGCCUCAGACUUCACUGAUGCAGAUCGAGGUCUGGGCACUUGCCUGUGGCUCCAUGCUGGGCUGUGGGUCUGGUCCUAAGGCCCCAAACAGGGGCAGGCUCGCUGCACUGUCCAUCACGAGAAUAUAGAUGUGGUAACCCCCACAUUAUUUUAUCUCCCUAGGUCUGGUUACCCAGCUAAAAGUUCUCCUUCCUAAGAGAACAUUAGAGUCCAAAAUUGGUGACCUUAGGCAAAUGGCUUAAGCUCUCUGUGCCUCUGCUUCCUAACUAUAAAAUGAGGAUAAAACUAGUGCUUGUCUCCCAAGACAGUUGGGAGACUGAAGUGAGAUGUAACAUGCCUAGCCACCUGGAGGGCACUCUGUCUCCUUUCCCUCCUCUCCUAGGGGCACUGUCUCCAGCAACUGUGGCUUAGUGGCAUGACAUACUGUGUCUCUAAGGUCUGGGAGCCAGGAUCACACUGAAGAGGCUAGAUCAAGGGACACUAGGGUCAGGGGCUGGUGAGAGGGUUGCCUCCAUGGCCUUAUUGGCUCUUCCCAGAGUGCUCCCUGAGAUGCCCAGGUACAGGGCUGGCUUUGUAACAGGGAAAAGUACCUGCCCUACCCUGCUGCCCAACUUUUGGCAGAUGUUAGGCAACUUGCUUCUUUGAAAUAUUCAAGCACCUGAGAGCCUCAGGCAGGUUGUGGGCACUGACUCUACCCUGCGCCUUCUAGAUAGUCCAGCUCCUGACUGACACCCUCCCCCCGACUCCCACCCAACCACCUCCACCAAUACACAUCGUCUAUUUUUUCUCCCGAGGGUUGUGCUGUGAAUUACUAGGUUUUGUUGGGCUUGCCAAGGCUUGGCCCAUGGAAGGCCUGGCUUCUUCUUUGGGUCUCAAUCUCUGGCCUGUCUCUGCCUGGUGCAGCCGGCAAAGCUGGAAGGAUCUCCACCUCUGGGAAGGAGGGAGCCUGAGCCCCUUGCUUGGCUUUGCCACCUGGUUGCUUUGUGAUCUUGGGUCUGCGGUAUUGCCUCUGGAGAGGAGCUUGGAUACAAAUUCUCCUGGUUGACUUCAUGUACCUCUGUCAGGCUGGCAUGCAGAGCAGAGUUACUUCCUCAUGGCUGGAGAAAAAGCUAGGAAGCAAAUGGGCCAGGAGGUGAAUCAGAUUUCUGGGCCUUCUGGUCCAGCCUGCUGAAAAGUGCCCCACACUCUAAGCCUGGACGCCUGGUGGGCAGUCGGGCACAGCCAUGAACUGACUACCACCUUAGACAAAUCCUACAACUUCUCUGGACCUCAUUUAUACAGCUGGGCCAUAAGGCAGUUGAUCUAAAUCAAUUGUUUUCAAAAGUGAAUUAUUUAGUACACUAGUUUUGAAAGCUACUUCUCAAAAAAAAAAUUCUCCAAGAUCAAAUAUGUUUUGAGGGAUACUGUAAACUCCCCCUCUUAUGAUCACAUCUUAAUGUAUACAUCAGCUUAUUAAAGUGCCCAGAAGCCCAGUAACAAAGAGGCCAGCUCAGCUUCAUUGAUCUCAGUUCCUCUUAAACUUGUUUGACCAGGACACCUUAUUUUCCCUUUUAAUUCAUUACCAUCCUGGAGCACUAAAGUUUGGAGACAGACAAGUGAGAAAUCCAGAGUUGGGCUUCUCAAGCUUAAAAGUGCAUGUAGAACGCUGCGGUCUUAUUAAAAUGCAGAUUCCAGCUCAGCAGUUCUGGGCAAGACCUGACUUCCUUCCAAUGAGCUCCCAUGAGAUGACCAUUGGGCUGGUCCAGGGAGCACACACAGAGUCACACAGGACUGGAAUCCUAAUGCUCUUUGCACUUUCAAUAUUGGAAGCAAUCUAGAAGCUGUAAUGUGGGGACUCUGAACUCACAGAGACCUGGGAUGGGGCCCUGACUCUACCACACACUAGCAGUAUGACCUUGGGCAGUGCCCUCCCUGGACAUUGGUUUUCUCAUCUGCAAUGUUUAGACAUUCAUCACAUUUGCUCCACAGGAUUAUUUGAGGAUUAAAUAAAACUAUGCAAAUAAAAUCUAUAAGAUCCAACCCAUGAUAGGAGCAAAGUAUACCCUGGUCACCACUGAUAAUAAGAAUCCACAGCGCUGGCCUUUCUGUCUGUGGACCAACACUACCUCCAUGCCUGCCUCUGUGCCUUUCUUUGCAUUGCUGACUGCUGUCCUCAAAUCCCUUUCCUUCCCAUAUGAAAGCCAUGUCUAUUUAUGUGACUUUACUUGACCUCUCUAGCACAUUCUAGUAAUUUUUUUUUUUUUGCUUUUAGGGAAUCAGAGGAGCUGAGAGAUCAUGGCUUCUUUGAAAACCAUAGAGAAACUAUACCAGCAGACUUUAGUAAUAGCACACCUCCCUCAGGUGGAAGCCUGGUUGACAUGGGUCCUCCUGACCCUAUCCUAAGGGGGUAUUGAUUGACAGGUGAGGCACAAGGGCUUGCACUAAUCAUCACCUUACUCUGGACAUAAACCCUGCCAACUGUUCUUGAAUCUGUGUCACACACAACUACUGUGAGAAUAUGACUCAUUUUAUUCACUUUUGUGUUCCUCCAUAAGUGUAUCUGCAAAUGAAUUGUAUGAAAACCUUUAUAUAAAUAUGUUCACAUGGUUUUAAAAAAAUUCUUUGUCAGCCAGCAAGGACUAUAUUUGGGCUCAAACUCCCUGCUUAAUUGCAAUUAUAUUUAGACAGUGGAUAAAGACCCUGACACUAAGGCUGCCCUCGAUACUGGAGGCUGAAGAAGGAAGAGUGAAAGAGGAUCAUCAUUUAUUGACCAACUCUAGGUUUGGCUCCUGGUAUUAGUCAUUUCAUUUAAGUCUCCCAGCAACCAAAUGUGGUAGGUAUUCUUAUUCAUCAAGCUCAGAAAGGUUAAGGACUUUGCCCAAGACACAUAGCUAGUAACGGUGGAGCUUCAGUUAGAGUUCAGGAUGAUUGGACAACAUUCUAACUCUAGGCUUUCUCUGCUCCAAGUCUGCUUGGCAGAAGAUGACCGCCUUCAGUUUCCAAGUUUUACCUGCUAUUGGAACACCUGGGGACAAAUUCAGUCCUCUCUCAACCUGAUCCCAGUCUUGGGUCAAAUUGCACCUCUGGACGAACCACAUGUGUCUAUAGAGAUGUGUCACACUAUACAAGCAAGGCAGUUUCUCUCCCACCCACACAGGUGAGAGUAGGAGAAAGGAGACUUAGUCACAGCCUGGGACAGGUUUGCUGUAACUGUCGGGCUGUGGUGUACUUUCAGGGCAGUAAUUGGUAAGAAAGAUAUUGAAAAGGCAGAUGAGAUGGAAAAUGUCAUCUUGACCCCAUUUCACUGUCAUUCUGGCUGCUCUCUGACCCUAUUCAGGUUAGCUCAGUCAGCUGCCCAGCCUGGAGUGGGCUGCCUUCUCUGGCUGCCUUGUCCUUCAAGAGUUCCAGGGAUGGAAACUGAUCACCUCCUUACCCCCUAUCUCUGGCCUAGAUGGAAGGUAUUCUUCCAUCUUGUUGCAGAGAAUAGUGGGUGGUAAGGAUGCUGGGCUGACUCACAGCUGCGUACAGCUGGGAGGUUCUGGACCCCUGGCUCCCUGCCACCUUGUGUCCCAUGCAUCAUUGCUCUGCCUACAUUUCCAGUGAUGGAUGGGGGAGUGAGACAUGACCCAUGUUACAGGCCUAGGUGAAAGACCAUUGGAAUUAAGACUUCCUGGAAUCUCCACAGGGUUGCAGGGUAAAACAAGGUGAAGUGCAAAUUGAUUGUCAGCCAUUCCUCCAGACUCCCAAAAAAUGAACUUGGAGAGUCUCUUCAGUGCCCACCACCAACUGGUCAUCCAGAUAGACAAACACCACUCAAAGCUGACAGCUAACAACUUGACAAUUGUCCUCUACACCAUGCCAAUGUGAGCACACUUAAUUAAUAACCUGGGAUGCCCCAUCUCCUCUCCACUCAGGGGCUCAGCGCCUGUUUCUCAGUCACCACUGCUAGCUGAGUUUUAAUUAUCUUUCGGCACUGUCGCCUCUUGGAAUGCUGGAAAGGAAAUUCUCGCCCAGCUGGGCUGCAGCCAGGCCUGUUGGAGAACAAUGUGCAUUGCAGUGUUGAUCUCUCAGCUGGAACGCCAGCCCUCAGACUGGAGAGGAGCUCUCUGCUGCCAACCCAAAGGGAGAGGGAACUCAGUGCCUUUUCAGCACUUCUGUGGCGGCAGAGCUCCUAGGACUUAAAAUAAUGACCUCCUUGACAAGUUUUUAAAUUUUGUUUUUGGGAGUGUCUCAUUGGACAAGGCCACCUGGGUCUUGGAUUAUUUUUUAAUCACACCGGGAGGAUGAUUUUUUCCCUUUAAUUGUAACACUGGUGUUUAUUGAGUAUCUACUCUGUGGCAGGCACUGUGUUACAUUGCACCACCUUAUUCAUGCCCUGCAGCUGUGUUAAGCAGGUAACAUUUCCUUCUCUUAUUUUAUAAAUGAGAAGCUAAGUCCCACUACUCUGCCCAAGGUCAUGUAGUGCCCAGCCCAAGGUCAGAUAGUAAUGAGCAGAAAAGCAGGCGGUGCUGGAAUUCAAACCCAGCAUCCUGAUCCUGGAGUCUGCCCUUUAGCCAUGACCUUCUUCCUCUGUGCUUAUUAUUGGGUAUGUAUUCAGUUCUAUGAGCCUGCCUGAGAAUAGUACUGGAAAAACACCCCCCAAAGACACUGACCUUUGGGUUUGUAGCUUUUCCCCUUUCCAUCCUGGCAACCUGUGUUCACCCCCUCCUGGGUAAUGGAGGAACUACGCAGGCUCCAGGUACUCUACCCUUCUCACCACCGUGAGUGCUCAGAGCUGGGGUUCUGUGGACAAGGGCGCAGACAGACCACUGUUUCCAGCAGGGAAUUGCUAUUUGGCUGGGAUGACAAGUUCUUGAAUGUUCUCCAGCCAUCCCCAUGGAUGUUUCAGGAAGGAGGUGGCUCAUUCCCUCUUCACCAAGAAGAGAAGAACCUGGGUACUCUAAGGACAGAGGAGUGAGCUGGACAGGUUCGCCAGUCCUGCUUCUGCAACUUAUUGUUCUUACCACCUUGACCUUGGGCCUACAAUUCUACCCCUCCACUUCCCUCUGUAUCCUUCCUCUCUAGCAUUUUCUAAGCCACAAAGCCAAGAAGCCAUUAUUUGAAAGAAACCCCUGGCCAAAUGUAUUGGGUUGGAUUAUGUUCCCCUGAAAGACAUGUCCAAGUCUCAACUCUGGCUACUUAUGAAUGUGACCUUCUUUGGAAGUAGAAUCUUUACGGUUGAAAUUAAGUUAAGGCAGUCUAGAUAAGAUCCCAGGGAACUCAUGGCUGGGUCCCAAAUCCAAUGACUAGUGUCUUUAGAAAAGAAAGAAGAGGAAAACCCAGAGGUAUACAUAGGAAAAGACAUGGGAAGGCAGAGACAGAGAUUGGAGGCAUGUCACCACAAACCAAGACACCUGGAGCCACCAGAGCUAGAAGAAGCAAGAGACUUCAUGGGGCACAGCCCUGAUAACACCUGAUUGUGGACUUCAAUCCUCCAGCACUGUAAGAGAAUAAAUUCCUAUUGUUUAAAACCACCCAGUUUGUGAUCAUUUGUUAUGGGGCCCUAGGACUCAAAUAUACUAAGGCAAGACCUCAUCAUCAGCCAGGUCACUGGAAGGCUCCGCAGAGCAGAGCCAGCUGGG
rnacentral:lncRNA from 1 species